GAGUUUGAUCCUGGCUCAGAACGUACGCUGGCGGCACGCCUAACACAUGCAAGUCGAACGCAGUAGCAAUACUGAGUGGCAAACGGGUGAGUAUAAUGUGGGAAUCUGCCUUUUGGUUUGGAAUAACACGGGGAAACUUGUGCUAAUACCGAAUAAGCCCUUACGGGGAAAGUUUUAACGCCGAAAGAUGAGCCUGCACUUGAUUAGCUAGUUGGUAAGGUAAAAGCUUACCAAGGCAACGAUCAAUAGCUGUUCUUAGAGGAAGACCAGCCACAUUGGGACUGAGACACGGCCCAGACUCCUACGGGAGGCAGCAGUGGGGAAUCUUGCACAAUGGGGGAAACCCUGAUGCAGCGAUGCCGCGUGAGUGAAGAAGGCCCUUGGGUUGUAAAACUCUUUCGUCGGGGAAGAAAAUGACUGUACCCGAAUAAGAAGGUCCGGCUAACUUCGUGCCGGCAGCCGCGGUAAUACGAAGGGACCUAGCGUAGUUCGGAAUUACUGGGCUUAAAGAGCUCGUAGGUGGUUAAA
rnacentral:rRNA from 1 species